rnacentral:rRNA from 1 species
GAUGAACGCUGGCGGCGUGCCUAAUACAUGCAAGUCGAGCGAACGGACGAGAAGCUUGCUUCUCUGCUGUUAGCGGCGGACGGGUGAGUAACACGUGGAUAACCUACCUAUAAGACUGGGAUAACUUCGGGAAACCGGAGCUAAUACCGGAUAAUAUUUUGAACCGCAUGGUUCAAAAGUGAAAGACGGUCUUGCUGUCACUUAUAGAUGGAUCCGCGCUGCAUUAGCUAGUUGGUAAGGUAACGGCUUACCAAGGCAACGAUGCAUAGCCGACCUGAGAGGGUGAUCGGCCACACUGGAACUGAGACACGGUCCAGACUCCUACGGGAGGCAGCAGUAGGGAAUCUUCCGCAAUGGGCGAAAGCCUGACGGAGCAACGCCGCGUGAGUGAUGAAGGUCUUCGGAUCGUAAAACUCUGUUAUUAGGGAAGAACAUAUGUGUAAGUAACUGUGCACAUCUCGACGGUACCUAAUCAGAAAGCCACGGCUAACUACGUG